GACGAACGCUGGCGGCGUGCUUAACACAUGCAAGUCGAACGAUGAAGCUGGAGCUUGCUCCGGUGGAUUAGUGGCGAACGGGUGAGUAACACGUGAGCAAUCUGCCCUUGACUCUGGGAUAACUGCGGGAAACUGUAGCUAAUACCGGAUACUUUCACUGGAAGGCAUCUUCUGGUGAAGAAAGAAUUUCGGUCAAGGAUGAGCUCGCGGCCUAUCAGCUUGUUGGUGAGGUAACGGCUCACCAAGGCGACGACGGGUAGCCGGCCUGAGAGGGAGACCGCCACACUGGGACUGGGACACGGCCCAGACUCCUCCGGGAGGCAGCAGUGGGGAAUAUUGCACAAUGGGCGCAAGCCUGAUGCAGCAACGCCGCGUGAGGGAUGAAGGCCUUCGGGUUGUAAACCUCUUUUAGCAGGGAAGAAGCGAAAGUGACGGUACCUGCAGAAAAAGCACCGGCUAACUACGUGCCAGCAGCCGCAGUAA
rnacentral:rRNA from 1 species